rnacentral:rRNA from 1 species
CCUACGGGUGGCAGCAGUGAGGAAUAUUGGUCAAUGGACGAAAGUCUGAACCAGCCAAGUAGCGUGAAGGAUGACUGCCCUAUGGGUUGUAAACUUCUUUUAUAUGGGAAUAAAAUGUUCCACGUGUGGGAUUUUGUAUGUAUAAUAUGAAUAAGGCUCGGCUAACUCUGUGCCAGCAGCCGCGGUAAUACGGAGGAUCAGAGCGUUAUCCGGAUUUAUUGGGUUUAAAGGGAGCGUAGGUGGAUUGUUAAGUCAGUGGUGAAAGUUUGCGGCUCAACCGUAAAAUUGCAGUUGAAACUGGCAGUCUUGAGUACAGUAGAGGUGGGCGGAAUUCGUGGUGUAGCGGUGAAAUGCUUAGAUAUCACGAAGAACUCCGAUUGCGAAGGCAGCUCGCUGGACUGCAACUGACACUGAGGCUCGAAAGUGUAGGUAUCAAACAGGAUUAGAUACCCGGGUAGUC